rnacentral:rRNA from 1 species
UUUGUUCGGAAUAGCCACCGGAAACGGUGAUUAAUGCCGGAUGUGAUCGGUCACUGCAUAGUGACCUCUUUAAAGGCGGGGAAUCUUCGGAUCCUGUCGCAAAGAGAUAAGCCCAUUUCCUAUCAGCUAGUUGGCGAGGUAAUGGCUCACCAAGGCUAAGACGGUUAGCUGGACUGAGAGGUUGACCAGCCACAUUGGGACUGAGACACUGCCCAGACUCCUACGGGAGGCUGCAGUCGAGAAUAUUUAGCAAUGGACGAAAGUCUGACUAUGCGACGCCGCGUGCAGGAUGAAGGUCUUCGGAUUGUAAACUGCUUUUAUUAGGGGAGAAACCUGUAUGGUCAAUAGCCAUACAGCUGACGGUACCUGAUGAAUAAGCCACGGCAAACUCUGUGCCAGCAGCCGCGGUAAUACAGAGGUGGCAAGCGUUACUCGGAAUUAUUGGGUGUAAAGGGCAGGUAGGUGGUCUGAUAAGUGAGGGGUGAAAUCCUGCGAUUUAAUCGCAGAACAGCCUUUCAAACUAUCAGACUUGAGAGAAACAGAGGAAGAUGGAAUUCCCGGUGUAAGGGUGAAAUCUGUAAGUAGAGGGAAGAACACCAACGGCGAAGGCAAUCUUCUGGGUUUCUUCUGACACUGAGCUGCGAAAGCUAGGGGAGCGAUACAGAAUUAGAUACUCUGGUAGUCCUAGCCGUAAACGAUAUUAAUAGGUGUUGGGUCCUUCGGGACUCAGUGCCGAAGCUA